rnacentral:rRNA from 1 species
AACGAACGCUGGCGGCAGGCUUAACACAUGCAAGUCGAGCGCCCCGCAAGGGGAGUGGCAGACGGGUGAGUAACGCGUGGGAAUCUACCCAUCCCUACGGAACAACUCCGGGAAACUGGAGCUAAUACCGUAUACGCCCUUAGGGGGAAAGAUUUAUCGGGGAUGGAUGAGCCCGCGUUGGAUUAGCUAGUUGGUGGGGUAAAGGCCUACCAAGGCGACGAUCCAUAGCUGGUCGGAGAGGAUGAUCAGCCACAUUGGGACUGAGACACGGCCCAAACUCCUACGGGAGGCAGCAGUGGGGAAUAUUGGACAAUGGGCGCAAGCCUGAUCCAGCCAUGCCGCGUGAGUGAUGAAGGCCUUAGGGUUGUAAAGCUCUUUCACCGAUGAAGAUAAUGACGGUAGUCGGAGAAGAAGCCCCGGCUAACUUCGUGCCAGCCGCCGCCGUAAAAC